UACGAAGGGGGCUAGCGUUGCUCGGAAUUACUGGGCGUAAAGGGCGCGUAGGCGGGUCGUUAAGUUAGAGGUGAAAGCCCGGAACUCAACUCCGGAAUUGCCUUUAAGACUGCAUCGCUCGAAUCAUGGAGAGGUGAGUGGAAUUCCGAGUGUAGAGGUGAAAUUCGUAGAUAUUCGGAAGAACACCAGUGGCGAAGGCGACUCACUGGACAUGUAUUGACGCUGAGGUGCGAAAGCGUGGGGAGCAAACAGG
rnacentral:rRNA from 1 species